GUCCUCCUGGCCCAAGUCGUAUAACCAAAGACAGGAUAUUAAAUUCAGUCUCUUAAUGAUUCUCUUCUGCCUCUGACCUUUCAAAGGCCAAUAGCAGGGUUGGGACAGGUUCUAUAAUAUAGAAGCUACCAACAUUUGGAAACUAUAGCUAGGAAUCUGCUUAUUCUUGAGCACUUACGCCCCCUAAACUUUAAAAAUGUUUUAACAUAGAUAACUCUGCUAGUUGUCCCAAGCAUGUUACAGGUCCUUGUGGGACCCUGCUGUUUAGCUCUCUCCAUUGUGAAAACUUACCAUUUAUUCCUAUCCUUUGUUUCCUAUCUUUUAACCAAUUACUGAUCCAAGAGAGGACCUUCCCUUUUAUCCCAUAACUCCUU